UUACAAGCUGCGUAAGGAAACUUUUUUGUCGAGGUGGAUUUGACGGGCCGAGGCAACGCCGAGGCCCGGCAAACCUCCGAGACUUAAGAAAGGAGUUACGCAGCGUGUAUUGUAUUACGUUUUUUCUGCUACCGACACCAGUAACACUAAAAAGUAAUAAUUCUAGUAACUAAAAAAUAUUUAAGAAAUUAUCAGGAACUCAUUGAACGUAUUCAUUUCCGUAGCAACAAGAUAAAAAAAUUUGUUUACAAGCAAUAGAAGAAGCUGCCAAUAUUGCUUGCGCAUGUCUGUUACCUGAAAAAUCGAAAUUCCGUUAUAAUGAAACUUACAACGCAUUUUCAAUUUGGUAUACAUCACGAAACAUUCAAGAUGUUAAUGAAACCGUAAUGUUUGGUUAUUUUAAGGAAAGAUCCGAAGCCCGCAAGUCUCCUAGCAGUUUAUGGUGUGAAUAUUCAAUGCUGAAAUUAACGUCGUGUCAGUUCUUCUGUUUGUUACCUCAAUUAUAUAAGAAAAUGUUGGAAGCUCAUGCAGUUGAUGAAAAUGUGACAGUUACUAAUUUUGAAAUAACUUCAAAUAAUAAUCCUUUAAUAAAUAUUACUGAGUGUAGUGUUACAGUUAAUAUUAAUAAAUAAUUAUAAAAGAAACUAUUGCUGUAAAAUGAAAUUAUUGACAUUUCUCUGACAUUCUACUACUUUCAUUACUUUUUUGUCCUGGCAGCGUAAGUAACACUUACGCCCUUAGUAACCUACUUACGGAGCUAGCAACGAGGUUGCCCUAUUUACUUCACUUACGCUUACAUCAGUGUCACUGGAGCAAUAAGAUUCAUUUACGCUAUCGGGUGCGUGUAAAGGCUAAUUUACCGAGUUAGUUCAGACGACAGUAAA